UACGAAGGGAGCUAGCGUUGUUCGGAAUCACUGGGCGUAAAGCGCACGUAGGCGGAUGUGUCAGUCAGGGGUGAAAUCCCGGAGCUCAACUUCGGAACUGCCUUUGAUACAGCACGUCUUGAGUCCGAUAGAGGUGGGUGGAAUUCCUAGUGUAGAGGUGAAAAUUCGUAGAUAUUAGGAAGAACACCGGUGGCGAAGGCGGCCCACUGGAUCGAUACUGACGCUGAGGUGCGAAAGCGUGGGGAGCAAACAGG
rnacentral:rRNA from 1 species